rnacentral:rRNA from 1 species
UACGUAGGGCGCAAGCGUUCUCCGGAAUUACUGGGCGUACAGCGUGCGCAGGCGGUUUUGCAAGACAGAUGUGAAAUCCCCGGGCUUAACCUGGGAACUGCAUUUGUGACUGCACGGCUAGAGUGUGUCAGAGGGGGGUAGAAUUCCACGUGUAGCAGUGAAAUGCGUAGAUAUGUGGAGGAAUACCGAUGGCGAAGGCAGCCCCCUGGGAUAACACUGACGCUCAUGCACGAAAGCGUGGGGAGCAAACAGG